GGUCCCAUAGCUCAGUUGGUUAGGGCAUUGGUCUAAUGACUCUGGGGAAGUCCAAAGCCAAAGUUCGCGGGUUCGAGCCCCGCCGAGACCA
rnacentral:tRNA from 1 species